rnacentral:piRNA from 1 species
AUCCUCACGCACUGGUCUUACGCUGACUC